CAUGUUUGCCAGGCUGCUCUCAAACUCCUGACCUCCAGUGAUCCACCCUCCUCGGCCCCCCAAAGUUCUGGGAUUACAGGCGUGAGCCACUGCACCUGGCCCAAAGUUUGAAAUAUUGUUAGAGACUGGAGAGGCAAAACCAUUAAGAAAGGGGAGAGGUUGAAGUGUUUUAUGGUCUCCUGCUCUGGCUGCCAAUCUUAAGACAACCUCGAUUUUGGAAGAAAUUUCCAUUCUCUUCUUCUACUGUACGAGAAAAAAAGCUCCGCCAACAAGGCAACUGGGGAAGAGAAGGGCUGAAUGAACACAAAAUUUCUGAUUGCUGCACAAAAUAGGAUCAAAGAAAAGAGAAGAAUAAUCAGAGGUAAUGA